rnacentral:rRNA from 1 species
UUUUCAGUAGUAUAUUUGUGAAGCUGAUAUAUCUUUCUUUUAUAGGACAUGGUUGCUCUUGCUUCAUCUAAAUAGGCCGUCUGGAAUGCCAUGAGACCAGGUUGUACUAUCAUUUUGAAUUUGUUUACUAACACCACAACUACCACAUCCUCGCUAAACGACAGAGGUUGCUAGCAACUGCACGUGGAAAGAUUGAAUGUGAUAUUCUGUCUACUAAUCAAUAGUGUAUUACUAAAACUACAUAUUGAUGACUUUUUAGUUAAACAACAGAUAGUAUUGUCCCCAGUUCUGCUUGAUUUGAUUUUUAUUUCCCAUCAGUUUUGUGUUUUGUCAGAGAAUGGUUUUUCUUUACCUACGGUAGUCCCUGUACUCAGGUAAAUCUGCAUCAUUUCACUAUUGGUUCUGUCGUAAUUGUAUUAGAUUGGGAUUGCAACAUGUGGGCUCCAACAAACAUAAUUUCAAAAUUGCACGUUAUUUGUAUGACAUAAAACUAAAUGAGAUAUCACUCAACUCACAUGAACUUUGGAUAACAUUGUAGUUAAACAUUGAUUACUUGCAAUGCAUUAGCAACCCCAAAAUGUUAGAACUGAAUCUUGAACGCUUGUAACAAAAUUUUACCAUCCUCAAGAAUUUAAAGAGAAAGAAAGGUUUGCCCUCACAUUCCUGUUAGUCCACUACCAAUUCAUAGUAUUGUUAGGAUUUCUGGGAUCCUACAUUUUGACUAUUUAGCUGAUCCCAAGUUAUUUAUAUAGUUUUAUCCCAUUACAUCAGAUCUUUUUGGUUGCACGUAUUAAUUUACUGAUUGUGUACUGGAAGCAAUUUACUGACUUGUGUAGUAUUUAGCUGAUCCCAGGUUAGGCUUUUAAGUUUUCUCUCAUUACACCAUUGCAUUUUAGAAUUUUGUAGCUAAAAGUUUCCAUUAAAUUGGUGCCCGUAUUAGAGGGAGGCAUCGGUUAACUAAGCAUAUCGUCGCACGUAUAGAGACCUCCAGUCCAGCAUGUCAAGGUUGCUCUGCGCGGGCUCGAUUAGAGGGGGCAUGGACUUUAUUAAGAACGAGUGAGUGCCGUCCUGUAUCAAGUGCAUGUCAUGGGUUUGAUAAUAUUUUAAAGAAUCAAUUUGUACUACAUUAUUCGCUGGAGGUAGCAUCACGAUGACACAGAAUUAAGGACUCGUGAUUGGGAGUGUCUAAAAAUUUAUCAACUAUUCUGAUGUUCCAUAAAUCGUUAGUUUACCGAAAAAGGAAGGAGCUACCAUCGCGGUUUGAUUGCGUUCAUCUUGGACUAAUCAUGAUCAAUUUGAUGAGGCCUCCAUCAGUUUCGUAUAGGUUGUGCUAAGGAUUCAACAAAUUAUGAGAAACCUGACGUCGAAAGAUAGUGAUAGACCAUCGAAUGAAGUUUACUAUAUGUUUUUGUCUUUA